rnacentral:rRNA from 1 species
AGCAGCCGCGGUAAUUCCAGCUCCAAUAGCGUAUAUUAAAGUUGCUGCAGUUAAAAAAGCUCGUAGUUGAAUUUCGGGAUCAAUAUGUUGGUCGUGCCUCGGUACGUACUAGCUUAUUGGUUUCUCCCUUCUGACGAACCAUGAUGUCAUUUAUUUGGUGUUAUGGGGAAUCAGGACUGUUACUUUGAAAAAAUUAGAGUGUUUAAAGCAGGCUUACGCUUGAAUACAUUAGCAUGGAAUAAUGAAAUAGGACGUUUGAUUCUAUUUUGUUGGUUUCUAGGAUCGACGUAAUGAUUAAUAGGGAUAGUUGGGGGCAUUAGUAUUCAAUUGUCAGAGGUGAAAUUCUUGGAUUUAUUGUAAGACUAACUACUGCGAAAGCAUUUGCCAAGGAUGUUUUCAUUAAUCAAGAACGAAAGUUAGGGGAUCGAAGACGAUCAGAUACCGUCGUAGUCUUAACCAUAAACUAUGCCGACUAGGGAUCGGAUGAUGUUAAUUUUUAAUGUACUCAUUCGGCGCCUUA